AGCGAACGCUGGCGGCGUGCCUAACACAUGCAAGUCGAACGGUUCUGUUGGGGGCGUUGCUCUCGACAGAGUAGUGGCAAACGGGUAGAGUAACACGUGGGUAAUCUUCCUUCGAGUGAGGAAUAACUUCGGGAACCGGAGCUAAUACCGCAUAACAUCUUGGAACGGCAGUUCUAAGAUCAAAGGGGGCGGCAAGCUCCCGCUUGAAGUUGAGCUCGCGUCCUAUCAGCUAGUUGGUGAGGUAAUGGCUCACCAAGGCUCCGACGGGUAGCCGGCCUGAGAGGGUGGCCGGCCACACUGGGACUGAGACACGGCCCAGACUCCUACGGGAGGCAGCAGUGGGGGAAUAUUGCGCAAUGGACGAAAGUCUGACGCAGCGACGCCGCGUGGGUGAUGAAGGCCUUCGGUCGUAAAGACCCUGUUGAGGGAGAGAAAGCUACUGUCGGUUAAUACCCGGCAGUGGUGAUAGUAUCCCUAGAGAAGACACCGGCUAACUACGUGCCAG
rnacentral:rRNA from 1 species